rnacentral:rRNA from 1 species
UACGUAGGGUGCUAGCGUUGUCCGGAUUUAUUGGGCGUAAAGGGCUCGUAGGCGGCGUGUCGCGUCGGGGAGUGAAAGCCCGCUGCUUAACGGCGGGUUGGCUUCCGGUACGGGCAUCGCUGGAGUGCGGCAGGGGAGACUGGAAUUCCUGGUGUAGCGGUGGAAUGCGCAGAUAUCAGGAGGAACACCGGUGGCGAAGGCGGUUCUCUGGGCAGUAACUGACGCUGAGGAGCGAAAGCGUGGGGGAGCGAACAGG